AGAUGUAAAGGCAAUCUGGCUGGAAUGUCCGUUUUGCCUUCAGUCACCAAGAUUUGUCUGAUCUGACUGGCCAGAUGGCUGUUCUUCUUCCCUCACUGCUCUAGGUGCAUUCCUUCCAUUCCAUUGCCUGCUUGGUAGAAAAAAAUACCCAUCUCAGAUAGGAAUGUUCUGUUCUGGGUUGGGGUAUGUGAUGUAUAUGAUAGCUGGACUCCCUUUGCUAUAAUAUCCCGAGUUUGAUUUUUGAAAAGAGUUUUUAUGUAUGACCAGACUGAUCACAGUUUAUUUAAGUAUUGCCGAUGUCUCAUUUUGCAAUCCUUU
rnacentral:snRNA from 1 species